rnacentral:rRNA from 2 species
GAUUUCUGGCUUGAUUUGCCUGGCCCGCCACGGUUUCGUGUGUGAGUGCUGGGUCGAGUCGGCCAUCCUUCGUUUAUGAUUGAUUGUUCUUUAUUGAGCAGUCAACUCGUGGACGAUCGUUUACUUUGAAAAAAUUAGAGUGUUUCAAGCAGGCUUUAGCUUUGAAUACAUGAGCAUGGAAUAAUAAAGUAGGACUUUGGUUCUAGUUUGUUGGUUUGGAGAGCUGAAGUAAUGAUGGAUAGGGACAGUUGGGGGUGCUAGUAUUCAGCGGCCAGAGGUGAAAUUCUUGGAUUCGCUGAAGACUCACUACGGCGAAAGCAUU